rnacentral:rRNA from 1 species
GACGAACGCUGGCGGCGUGCUUAACACAUGCAAGUCGAACGGAAAGGCCCUGCUUUUGUGGGGUGCUCGAGUGGCGAACGGGUGAGUAACACGUGAGUAACCUGCCCUUGACUUUGGGAUAACUUCAGGAAACUGGGGCUAAUACCGGAUAGGAGCUCCUGCUGCAUGGUGGGGGUUGGAAAGUUUCGGCGGUUGGGGAUGGACUCGCGGCUUAUCAGCUUGUUGGUGGGGUAGUGGCUUACCAAGGCUUUGACGGGUAGGCGGCCUGGGAGGGUGACCGGCCACAUUGGGACUGAGAUACGGCCCAGACUCCUACGGGAGGCAGAAGUGGGGAAUAUUGCACAAUGGGCGGAAGCCUGAUGCAGCAACGCCGCGUGCGGGAUGACGGCCUUCGGGUUGUAAACCGCUUUCGCCUGUGACGAAGCGUGAGUGACGGUAAUGGGUAAAGAAGCACCGGCUAACUACGUG